AACGAACGCUGGCGGCAGGCCUAACACAUGCAAGUCGAGCGAAGCCUUCGGGCUUAGCGGCGGACGGGUGAGUAACGCGUGGGAACGUGCCCUUUGGUACGGAAUAGCCCCGGGAAACUGGGAGUAAUACCGUAUGUGGUCGAGAGACGAAAGAUUUAUCGGCAAGGGAUCGGCCCGCGUCUGAUUAGGUAGUUGGUGUGGUAACGGCGCACCAAGCCGACGAUCGGUAGCUGGUUUGAGAGGAUGAUCAGCAACACUGGGACUGAGACACGGCCCAGACUCCUACGGGAGGCAGCAGUGGGGAAUCUUAGACAAUGGGCGCAAGCCUGAUCUAGCCAUGCCGCGUGGGUGAUGAAGGCCUUAGGGUCGUAAAGCCCUUUCGCCGGGGAAGAUAAUGACGGUACCCGGUAAAGAAACCCCGGCUAACUCCGUGCCAGCCGCCGCCGUAACAC
rnacentral:rRNA from 1 species